GAUCCCGUAGCUCAGUUGGAUAGAGCACUCGCCUUCUAAGCGAGCGGUCGCACGUUCGAAUCGUGCCGGGAUCACCA
rnacentral:tRNA from 1 species